AAACAACCCCCUAUGUUUUGAUUCUUUGGCAGUUUUGGACCCCCAGGGCAAAAAAAAAUAAAAAAUUUGACACGUGGCACCUCACUUAGGGUGCCACGUCAGCGUUGACCGAAUCAACAACGGACUGGGGGUCCAAAACUGCCAAAGAAUCAAAACAUAGGGGGCUGUUU
rfam:Medicago truncatula strain A17 chromosome 6, whole genome shotgun sequence.